rnacentral:tRNA from 1 species
GGUCGCUUAGCUCAGUUGGUUAGAGCAUCCCGUUGACAUCGGGAAGGUCGGUGGUUCAAGUCCACCAGCGACCACAA